rnacentral:rRNA from 1 species
GAUGAACGCUGGCGGCGUGCCUAAUACAUGCAAGUCGAGCGGACGGACGAGACUCUUGCUUCUCUGACGUUAGCCGCGGACGUGUGAGUAACACGUGGAUAACCUACCUAUCUGACUGGGAUCACUUCGGGAAACCGGAGCUAAUACCAGAUAAUCUUCUGAUCCGCAUGGUUCAAAAGUGAAAUUCGGUCUUGCUGGCUGUUAUGGAUGGAUGCGCGGUGUAUGAGCUGGUUGGUGGGGUAAGGGCUUACCACGGCAACGCUGGGUAGCCGGCCUGAGAGGGUGACCGGCCGCAAUGGGACUGAGAGAGGGCGCAGACUCCUACGGGAGGCAGCAGUGGGGAAUAUUGCACAAUGGGCGGAAGCCUGAUGCAGCAACGCCGCGUGCGGGAUGACGGCCUUUGGGUUGUAAACCGCUUUCGCCUGUGACGAAGCGUGAGUGACGGUAAUGGGUAAAGAAGCACCGGCUAACUACGUG